rnacentral:miRNA from 1 species
UAUGUAUACAUGUAUGUAUGUGUGUAUGUACAUGUGUCUGUAUAUAUAUAAAAAAUAUAUAUAUACACUACAUAU